AUUAGAUACCCUGGUAGUCCACGCCGUAAACGAUGAUUACUAGGUGUGGGGGGACUGACCCCUUCCGUGCCGCAGUUAACACAAUAAGUAAUCCACCUGGGGAGUACGACCGCAAGGUUGAAACUCAAAGGAAUUGACGGGGGCCCGCACAAGCAGUGGAGUAUGUGGUUUAAUUCGAAGCAACGCGAAGAACCUUACCAGGUCUUGACAUCCUCUUGACCGGUGCUUAAUCGUACCUUCUCUUCGGAGCAGGAGAGACAGGUGGUGCAUGGUUGUCGUCAGCUCGUGUCGUGAGAUGUUGGGUUAAGUCCCGCAACGAGCGCAACCCUUACCUUUAGUUGCUACGCAAGAGCACUCUAGAGGGACUGCCGUUGAUAAAACGGAGGAAGGUGGGGAUGACGUCAAAUCAUCAUGCCCCUUAUGACCUGGGCUACACACGUGCUACAAUGGCGCAAACAGAGGGAAGCGGACCGGUGACGGCGAGCGAAUCCCAAAAAGUGCGUCCCAGUUCGGAUUGUAGUCUGCAACUCGACUACAUGAAGCCGGAAUCGCUAGUAAUCGCGGAUCAGAAUGCCGCGGUGAAUACGUUCCCGGGUCUUGUACACACCGCCCGUCACACCAUGGGAGCCGGAAAUGCCCGAAGUCAGUGACCCAACCAAUAAGGAGGGAGCUGCCGAAGGCAGGUCUGGUGACUGGGGUGAAGUCGUAACAAGGUAGC
rnacentral:rRNA from 1 species